CAUUUUUUUUCCUUCUUUUUUUCCCUUUCUCUCUUCUUCUUCGUCCUCCCGAUUUCUUCUGAGAACAACAAUCUUUAUCAACCAGAGAUGAAUUGGAGGCUUCGAGAUUGAAAUAAGAGGAGAUCGAUCCUGCAUUAAGUAACGGUAGCGGUGUUGUUCUCAAUAGAUGAUUCUGAGUCAAGGAAACAAGAUAAUUCAGAGAGAACUGGAAGAAAGUUAAUGCAUAAUUUGUGUUGAUUAGAUGGGGCUUGAGUUGAUUGAAACAAUAAGAAUUGAUGGAUCUAAUGAUCGAGGUGGUGUUAAUUAGGGCUUGGGGGUUUUGCCUUUUGUUCUGAAAUAAUAAAGAAUUGAGAUUGGAAGUUUCAAUGAAGAAUUUAUAAGUUUCAGGAUUGAGAUUGGAAGUGUGAGUCGAAGUAGUAAAAUUGAGAUUGGAAGUUUCUUUGUUACUGCUAGUAAUUGGGAGAAUCGGUCUAAUUACUCGCUGGGAUCGUUUGAGUAUUGGGUUCAGGAUUUCGAUGCUGAGGUUUUCGUCGAGUUGGAAAGGAUUAAUGAGAAUCGAGCUCAAUCUGAUGAAGUUUCAGUUUCUGUUGGUGGUGCUGCUGCUGGUGAUGAUGGGGAUGAACCGACGAAGAUUGUGAUUGAAAAUCUUGUUCGAGCUGAAUCUGAUGAAGCUGCGUCUUAUGGAGAAUAGACAAAUUGCAACUCACCUGUAUUCAAGAAGGGGAAAUAAAUUGAUUGAUGAUGGUAAUUUAAGCUACUGUUUAAAGAGGGAUACGGUAUUAGCUCAGACAAUUGCCUAUUGAAGACAUAGAUUCUAAAUGCAAGGUAUUUAUCUCUUUUCUUCAAACCUAUUUUUCUCUUCAGAGUAUCAUAUAAAAUUGUAAGUAUUACCAGAACAGUAGUCAAAUUAGCUUGGAAAACUUAAUAAUUGCUGAACUAGAUACUAUUUGCAUAUCUGAACAAUAGGUUUUUCCAUGGAUGACGUUUGUAUCAGAAUGAGUGUAGUAUUUUCUUUGCUUUACAAUUUAGAAAUGGUCUUGUACAACUACUAUGUGAGUAUAGAUUUCAUUAAUAGAUGUUGGUUUUCUUCACAUUCUGUAAUGGUUGAUUCUGCAGUCGUUAAUUCAUUCCACCUUAUUGCAA